rnacentral:rRNA from 1 species
GACCUUCGGAUCAGGUAAAGGAUACCCGCUGAACUUAA